AUGCGGCGCCAAACUAGUGUCGUGGAUUUUGACCACCUGGCCUUUAAGGGCGGAGUUCCUCUGGGCUCCUUCCUAGGGCCCAUAUCUCAUCUCAACUUGAGUUCGUUGGCGGCAGGUUGCUUUUUGUGCACUAGACCGUUGCACUGUGAUGGCUCGGAAGUCUUCUUUGGCGCAGGAACAAGGUUAACGGUUACAGAACCAAAUGCCAAAAUCACGCUUCCCAAGGUGACGUUGUUCCCGCCUUCGAAGAAAGAGUGCACCAACAAGAAGGACAAAGAGACUAAGAAGAAGACGCUGGUCUGCGCCGCCAGAGACUUCUACCCCGACCACGUCAGGGUAGCCUGGAUGGUGGACGGGCAGAAGAGGGAAACGGGCGUUGCUACGGACAGCGAGGCCCUGAGGCAAGGGGCCGGCUACAGCAUCACCAGCACGCUCAGGGUCCCGGCGGACGAAUGGUCACGCAGGAGCCGGAAUUUCACCUGCGUUGUCACGUUUUUCGAUGGGAAGAAUUAUGUCGACGUUUCAGAGUCCAUCAGCGGCAACAAUGAUGAAGACGGACAGAGUCGAGAGAACUUCCUGAAGUUGACGCAGAGCGCCAAGCUGUCAUACAGCGUCCUGAUCGCCAAGAGCUGCGUCUACGCCGCCUUUGUGGCCUUCCUGCUGUGGCGGAUCAGGGUCAGUUGUUCCCAGAGCUUAUCCUGUCCCGUGGAGGAAAAAGAAAAUGCGCUCAAUUUUCUUUGAAGUUAACAAAAAUGUUCUUGAAGAUGGAUAUUGACCAAAACAAGUGUGUUAGAUUCACGUGACACGAAUCGUCUUUGACCUAACGCUCAAAAAGGUUCAUUGAAGACUCCAAACCGCCUUUUGACGUUUAUCCAUAACAUGUAAGGCUAACCUAAGACGUGCCUCGAAACCAUCGUCAGUGUUUCUAUGUUUGUCAUUGAAUAAACGAGAUUGACUUUGACACGUUUGCUCCAAUUUUCUUGUUUGUUGCAGAUGCCGUCUGGAAAAAACCACUAAAGGAGAAGUAUCUUUUAUCUUGCAUUUUUUUGUUGAAUAAAAGUAUUAUUCAGUCACAACAACAA